rnacentral:rRNA from 1 species
AUUGAACGCUGGCGGCAUGCUUUACACAUGCAAGUCGAACGGCAGCGCGGGCUUCGGCCUGGCGGCGAGUGGCGAACGGGUGAGUAAUGCAUCGGAACGUGCCCAGUAGUGGGGGAUAGCCCGGCGAAAGCCGGAUUAAUACCGCAUACGACCUGAGGGUGAAAGCGGGGGACCGAAAGGCCUCGCGCUAUUGGAGCGGCCGAUGUCGGAUUAGCUAGUUGGUGGGGUAAAGGCUUACCAAGGCGACGAUCCGUAGCUGGUCUGAGAGGACGACCAGCCACACUGGGACUGAGACACGGCCCAGACUCCUACGGGAGGCAGCAGUGGGGAAUUUUGGACAAUGGGGGCAACCCUGAUCCAGCCAUGCCGCGUGCGGGAAGAAGGCCUUCGGGUUGUAAACCGCUUUUGUUCGGGAAGAAAUCCUCUGGGCUAAUACCCCGGGGGGAUGACGGUACCGGAAGAAUAAGCACCGGCGAACUACG